rnacentral:rRNA from 1 species
UACGAAGGGUGCAAGCGUUACUCGGAAUUACUGGGCGUAAAGCGUGCGUAGGUGGUUUGUUAAGUCUGAUGUGAAAGCCCUGGGCUCAACCUGGGAAUUGCAUUCGGAUACUGGCAGGCUAGAGUGCGGUAGAGGAUGGCGGAAUUCCCGGUGUAGCAGUGAAAUGCGUAGAGAUCGGGAGGAACAUCUGUGGCGAAGGCGGCCAUCUGGACCAGCACUGACACUGAGGCACGAAAGCGUGGGGAGCAAACAGG